UACGUAGGGGGGCUAGCGUUGUCCGGAAUCAUUGGGCGAAAGAGCGCGUAGGCGGCCAGAUAAGUCCGGUGUGAAAGUCACAGGCUCAACCUGUGAAUGCCGCUGGAAACUGUCUGGCUAGAGUCCGGGAGGGGCGAGUGGAAUUCCUGGUGUAGCGGUGAAAUGCGCAGAUAUCAGGAAGAACACCCGUGGCGAAGGCGGUUCUCUGGGACGGUACUGACGCUGAGACGCGAAAGCGUGGGGAGCAAACAGG
rnacentral:rRNA from 1 species